GACGAACGCUGGCGGCGUGCUUAACACAUGCAAGUCGAACGGAAAGGCCCUGCUUGCAGGGUACUCGAGUGGCGAACGGGUGAGUAACACGUGGGUGAUCUGCACUGCACUUCGUGGUAAGCCUUGGAAACUGGGUCUAAUACCGGAUAGGAGAUAUGUCUAGUGUGAUGGUGCGAAAGUUUUUUCGGGGUAGGAUGAGCUCGCGGCCUAUCGGCUUGUUAGUGGGGUAAUGGCCUAACAAGGCGGCGAGGGGUAGCCGGCCUGCGAGGGUGGACGGCCGCAUUGGGACUGAGAUGCGGCCCAGACGCCUACGGGAGGCAGCAGUGGGGAAUAUUGCACAAUGGGCGCAAGCCUGAUGCAGCGACGCCGCGUGGGGGAUGACGGCCUUCGGGUUGUAGACUCCUUGCGCUAGGGACGAAGCUUUUUGUGACGGUACCUAGAUAAGAAGCACCGGCUAACUACGUG
rnacentral:rRNA from 1 species